UACGUAGGGGGCAAGCGUUGUCCGGAAUCAUUGGGCGUAAAGAGCGUGUAGGCGGCUUUCUAAGUCAGGGGUGAAAUCCUGGAGCUCAACUCCAGAACUGCCUUUGAUACUGGAGAGCUUGAGUCCGGAAGAGGUGAGUGGAACUCCGAGUGUAGAGGUGAAAUUCGUAGAUAUUCGGAAGAACACCAGUGGCGAAGGCGGCUCACUGGUCCGGUACUGACGCUGAGGCGCGACAGCGUGGGGAGCAAACAGG
rnacentral:rRNA from 1 species